UUAAGCGACUAAGCGUACACGGUGGAUGCCCUGGCAGUCAGAGGCGAUGAAGGACGUGCUAAUCUGCGAUAAGCGUCGGUAAGGUGAUAUGAACCGUUAUAACCGGCGAUUUCCGAAUGGGGAAACCCAGUGUGNNNNNNNNNNNNNNNNNNNNNNNNNNNNNNNNNNNNNNNNNNNNNNNNNNNNNNNNNNNNNNNNNNNNNNNNNNNNNNNNNNNNNNCUGUGAGCUCGAUGAGUAGGGCGGGACACGUGGUAUCCUGUCUGAAUAUGGGGGGACCAUCCUCCAAGGCUAAAUACUCCUGACUGACCGAUAGUGAACCAGUACCGUGAGGGAAAGGCGAAAAGAACCCCGGCGAGGGGAGUGAAAAAGAACCUGAAACCGUGUACGUACAAGCAGUGGGAGCACGCUUAGGCGUGUGACUGCGUACCUUUUGUAUAAUGGGUCAGCGACUUAUAUUCUGUAGCAAGGUUAACCGAAUAGGGGAGCCGAAGGGAAACCGAGUCUUAACUGGGCGUUAAGUUGCAGGGUAUAGACCCGAAACCCGGUGAUCUAGCCAUGGGCAGGUUGAAGGUUGGGUAACACUAACUGGAGGACCGAACCGACUAAUGUUGAAAAAUUAGCGGAUGACUUGUGGCUGGGGGUGAAAGGCCAAUCAAACCGGGAGAUAGCUGGUUCUCCCCGAAAGCUAUUUAGGUAGCGCCUCGUGAAUUCAUCUCCGGGGGUAGAGCACUGUUUCGGCAAGGGGGUCAUCCCGACUUACCAACCCGAUGCAAACUGCGAAUACCGGAGAAUGUUAUCACGGGAGACACACGGCGGGUGCUAACGUCCGUCGUGAAGAGGGAAACAACCCAGACCGCCAGCUAAGGUCCCAAAGUCAUGGUUAAGUGGGAAACGAUGUGGGAAGGCCCAGACAGCCAGGAUGUUGGCUUAGAAGCAGCCAUCAUUUAAAGAAAGCGUAAUAGCUCACUGGUCGAGUCGGCCUGCGCGGAAGAUGUAACGGGGCUAAACCAUGCACCGAAGCUGCGGCAGCGACGCUUAUGCGUUGUUGGGUAGGGGAGCGUUCUGUAAGCCUGCGAAGGUGUGCUGUGAGGCAUGCUGGAGGUAUCAGAAGUGCGAAUGCUGACAUAAGUAACGAUAAAGCGGGUGAAAAGCCCGCUCGCCGGAAGACCAAGGGUUCCUGUCCAACGUUAAUCGGGGCAGGGUGAGUCGACCCCUAAGGCGAGGCCGAAAGGCGUAGUCGAUGGGAAACAGGUUAAUAUUCCUGUACUUGGUGUUACUGCGAAGGGGGGACGGAGAAGGCUAUGUUGGCCGGGCGACGGUUGUCCCGGUUUAAGCGUGUAGGCUGGUUUUCCAGGCAAAUCCGGAAAAUCAAGGCUGAGGCGUGAUGACGAGGCACUACGGUGCUGAAGCAACAAAUGCCAUGCUUCCAGGAAAAGCCUCUAAGCAUCAGGUAACAUCAAAUCGUACCCCAAACCGACACAGGUGGUCAGGUAGAGAAUACCAAGGCGCUUGAGAGAACUCGGGUGAAGGAACUAGGCAAAAUGGUGCCGUAACUUCGGGAGAAGGCACGCUGAUAUGUAGGUGAAGCGACUUGCUCGUGGAGCUGAAAUCAGUCGAAGAUACCAGCUGGCUGCAACUGUUUAUUAAAAACACAGCACUGUGCAAACACGAAAGUGGACGUAUACGGUGUGACGCCUGCCCGGUGCCGGAAGGUUAAUUGAUGGGGUCAGCGCAAGCGAAGCUCUUGAUCGAAGCCCCGGUAAACGGCGGCCGUAACUAUAACGGUCCUAAGGUAGCGAAAUUCCUUGUCGGGUAAGUUCCGACCUGCACGAAUGGCGUAAUGAUGGCCAGGCUGUCUCCACCCGAGACUCAGUGAAAUUGAACUCGCUGUGAAGAUGCAGUGUACCCGCGGCAAGACGGAAAG
rnacentral:rRNA from 1 species